GACGAAGGUGGCGAGCGUUGUUCGGAAUCACUGGGCAUAAAGCGCACGUAGGCGGUGCCGUAAGUCAGAUGUGAAAUCCCUCGGCCUAACCGAGGAACUGCGUCUGAUACUGCGGUGCUUGAGGAUCAGAGGGGUGCAUGGAAUUUCCGGUAGAGCGGUGAAAUGCGUUGAUAUCGGAAGGAACUCCGGCGGCGAAAGCGAUGCACUGGCUGAUUUCUGACGCUGAGGUGCGAAAGCCAGGGGAGCAAACGGG
rnacentral:rRNA from 1 species